CUUGUAGGUGCGUAUGCGCAUGCGCGGGAGCGGUGGAAACGGCGUCAACCAGUUACCCAGCCUCUAGUAUUGAACUCUGUCCUGAACCUUGAUCAGCAGUUGCGCACCUGUCUUUUGUUUUCGGCUUUCGUCCACUCCCCGCUUUUACAAAGUCCGUAACCAAGCCCCAGGCAGCACCUCCCUCCAGAGUUUUGUCUCAGAGGCGGCUGUUUUUCCUGACCCCUUACUUCUGAGGGACUGCGGCUUUGACCCGUUCCACCCCUCUGCAUGAGGGUCUCACCGAGCAAUGGACGGGUGCCUGCCGCACCCAGGAACGUUUGCGGGACCAUGCUGCUGCCGAAGACCAGAGACUUGACACCAGGUGCCAUCCCGCCCCAGAAAAAGUUCACGAGAUAGUGUAGCAGCAGCGUUUCAGGGAUUAUGGAAAAUCACAACACAUCUGGCAUCAGGCUUCAACCCCAACGACCUUGUUCCAGCGCCAGCGAAUGUGGUUGUUCUCCAGAGUCCACUGGGGCCUUGCCUUUGGGGCACCCACACAGCCUCCACCAGGUGUCCCCUGCUGGGAAGCAGGGAAACCGCCUCUCCCCGUGUGGCCUGAAGAACCCCGGACCCCACUCUGCUCCUGGGGAUUCACCUUUCUCACCAGAGCACCGCCAGAUGAGAACGCUGAGGCCAGAGAGGCUACGCACCUGAACUAAUUGAUAGAGCCAGGAUUUACUGCUCCUUCUGACUGAACGCAGCAAUGACUGUUCCUUACCCUCUUCUCUAGGAGCCAUCUUUGCCAAGUGAGCCUCCAUAAACUAUAAUGAAGUGAAAUGCAAUUUUCAUUUUAUUAUGCGUUUACAGAUACGCUUUUUCUUUACAGCCACUUUUACCGAUAACGCAAAUCACACAAAUAAAUCUGUUGGGAGCAGCUGGUGACUCACGGCUAUCUUUCGUGUCUAGCGUGGCUGACAAUAAGCUGUGCUUGGCCCAUGAGGGAGGACUUGGGGCUUCAUUGUGUGCCACAAGGCAGUGUCCGACAUUGCAACGUGUGGUUUUCCUUUCAUAGGUUCAAUCCAGUCUCUAUUUCUUUUUCUUUUCUUUUUUUUCUUUUUUUGAGGUAGGAAUUAGGGACAAGUCAAGGCAAGCGGAGAGCCAGCUUCCAUAAAGAUACCAUAGAAUGAAGGUGCUGGAUUUGUCUGGAAAUAAUUUGGAAUGGGGAUUAAUGAGACAAGGAGGCCGAAGAUUAAAAUGAAAAGGUCUAUUGGGCCUGAUUGUUAACAGUCUUGAUUGUCAGGUUCAGGGAUUUGGGGGUUGCCUGGUAGCAGUGAAGAGCAGUUGGAGAUGUUUAAGACGAAAAAGUCAUUAAUGAACUCUGAGAUUUGGACCACCUGGGUCGCAGAGCAGAGGACGGAGGGAAGGUAGAUGGCCUGGAGACAGGGAGACCCAUUGAAACAGGAGUCUGAUGGCUCACCUUAGGCACUCUGAAGACCUGGAUGAAAGCUUGGGCAAAGGGCAUGGAGAAGGGAUAUAUAUGUAUAUGUUCAAAAGAUGCUUUGCAAGUAGUAUGUUGGGGGAGGGGACAGCAGCCCACUGGUUGCUGUAUACAGGUGGCAGAUCAGGAAGAAGGUUCAAGGAUAGCUCAGGGUCUCUAGACCGGAGAUGACAAUAAGAUUUCAUCUCCAAUGUCCAGAGGAUUCAGAGGUGGAGAGCUGGCUCAGUGAUCUUGCCACAGGCGCAGGAAAAGCCAGGGCAGCUGGGUAUUUAUCAUCCUUUUCAGACUAAAUGAGUGGUUUGCCAUGGAGUAGCCCUUUAUCUUUGAAGUGAAGUCAUCUUAUUGUCCAAUAAUGAUGAUUUUGUCGGUCACCUUCAGCAUGAGCACUAAAGAUCAGAACAUGCAACAAAAUAAUACAGAACCCACACGUAAUCAGCUGCGAGGCUGAGCUAAAAGAUUAGCAUCGUGGAAUACCAAAAACAUUAACAGAAUAAGAAAAUGCAUUUACAGACAAGGGUACAAGUAAACUUUUUCAGGUAAUGUAAAUGUGAGAAAGCUAAUAGAGGAGUCCAAAUUCCUCCAGAUGUUUUUGAAAAAUUGACUCGAAAACUCUCUUUAAAAGUAUAGACCCAUGCUAUUGUUUUGCUCACCUCCUCUUCACCUCAUUGCGGGGGGAGAGAGAACCUUGCCCUAGGGUUCUGGAGAGAGCGGAAUACGUGACACUGGACAGAACAGAGGAUAUUGACAGCAGUUUAUUAGACCCACAUACAUACAGCUUGGGGGAGGGGGAUACCACAUGCCACACGGAGCCACAUAGGGAUUGCACCGGGGAGCAAAGGGAAGCCGCAGGGGCUGUGGGAGGAGCUUCAUAGUAGCAAGAAAGUGAGGUGACUUCCGGUUCCCAGAGGAGGAUGUGAUUGGCUUGUUGAGGACCAGGUGGAGCGCAGCUGGUCUGGCUGCCGGGGCAACUAGCUUUGGGAGCCUUUCCCACUGGGUGGCAAGAGCAGGGGAACUCCUACUCAGGACUUGGGGGCCCCCGUGAGGCUCAAAGACGUCAAGGCAGCACAUGAAACGUUAGGACUUAGAACAUAGCUAUCUAGUACACUAGCCACUGGCCACAUGUAGCUAUUGAACAUCUGAAAUGUGACUAAUCUGAGCUGAGAUGUGUUGUAUGUGUAAAAUACACACCAGAUGUUAAGGACUGAAUACAAAAAAAAAGAAUGUAAAACUAUCUCAUUUUGUGUUAUUGAUUGUAUGUUGGAAUGACAGUAAUGUGGGUGUAUUUUAGGGUUAAGUAAAAUAUAUUACUGAAAUUCAUUUUA